ensembl:lncRNA
CUGCUUUGAAGGAAUCCUAAGAUGCACAAUUUUUCAAAAUGCUGCAAGCUAGUAGAUGACAUGGAAGAAUAAACACAUGAUCAGAAACUAAAGAAAGCUGACGUGGAAGAAAAGAAGAAAAAGAUGAAAGCAAUUGGAUCAAUUCACAGAAACCAUAUCAGGAUACAGAGUGGAGAAGCCGUGACUUACUAUAGGCACCCUGUCACUUCAAUUAAUACAGCAUGCCCACCUCGAGCAAAGGAUGCUCUCAAUCCAAGGAAAUAUUCCAAUGGAUCUCUCUUGCCAAUGUUUAUUGCUAAAAGUGUUAGUCACUCAGUCAUGUCCAGUUCUGUGACCCCAUGGACUGUAGCUCGCCAGGCUCCUCUGUCCCUGGAAUUCUCCAGGUAAGAAUACUGGAGUGGGUUGUUGUGCCCUUCUCCAGGGGAUCUUCCAGUCCCAGGGAUCGAACCCAGGUCUUCCACAUUGCAGGCAGAUUCUUUACCAUCUGAGCUACCAGGGAAGCCUUAU